GACGGUAUAGUUGCCCAAAUUGGGCCAUUGAGUCGUUUUGAAAACGAAGCAAUGGUUCUUGGGGCGUACUAUAGUUAAACAGUGGUUGGGUGUUAAAUGGUGGGGGGCUACGAUGACGUGACCCAUAUGAAUCAUUUGUGCUAUAGACGGUUGUGGUUGCGGGGUUUGGUUCUUGGUUUUGUGUUUGGGUGGGUGGUAUGAAUGGAUUGCGACGUUGGAUGGUUCGUUGUUGGGUGGUUGGCAUGAACGGGUUGCGAUGUUGGGUGUGUGGUUGUUUUGUGUAUGUGGUCGGUUGAUGUUGUGUGGUUGGUUGUUG
rnacentral:lncRNA from 1 species